CGGAGGAUCCAAGCGUUAUCCGGAUUCAUUGGGUUUAAAGGGUGCGUAGGCGGAAUGAUAAGUCAGUGGUGAAAUCUCUUCGCUUAACGAAGAAACUGCCAUUGAUACUGUCAAUCUUGAGUACAUUUGAUGUGGGCGGAAUGUGUCAUGUAGCGGUGAAAUGCUUAGAUAUGACACAGAACACCGAUUGCGAAGGCAGCUCACAAAACUGUAACUGACGCUGAGGCACGAAAGCGUGGGUAUCAAACAGGAUUAGAUACCCUGGUAGUCCACGCUGUAAACUAUGAUUACUCGAUGUUUGCGAUACACUGUAAGCGUCUAAGCGAAAGCGAUAAGUAAUCCACCUGGGGAGUACGCUCGCAAGAGUG
rnacentral:rRNA from 1 species